UUAGCAGACGAUGUUAGGCUGAGCCUGAUUGAUACAACACUUGGCAAACAAUGUUAGGUUGAGCCAGACAGAUACAACACUUAGCAGACAAUGUUAGGUUAAGCCAGACUGAUACGGACACAUUGACAAACUUUAUGAUAAUUCCGACAGUGACAUUUAGUUGCAGGCUUCAUAGUGACGUGCUUAGGUUAUCUUGGUUAUUUGGUAGAACUGAGAGACAUGACAAGAUUUUCAUGUAUGGGUCCGGGUCAACUACAUCUUAGGGGCCUAGAUCUAAGUU